rnacentral:rRNA from 1 species
AGUGAACGCUGGCGGUAGGCCUAACACAUGCAAGUCGAACGGCAGCACAGUAAGAGCUUGCUCUUACGGGUGGCGAGUGGCGGACGGGUGAGGAAUACAUCGGAAUCUACUUUUUCGUGGGGGAUAACGUAGGGAAACUUACGCUAAUACCGCAUACGACCUACGGGUGAAAGCAGGGAAUCUUCGGACCUUGCGCGAUUGAAUGAGCCGAUGUCGGAUUAGCUAGUUGGCGGGGUAAAGGCCCACCAAGGCGACGAUCCGUAGCUGGUCUGAGAGGAUGAUCAGCCACACUGGAACUGAGACACGGUCCAGACUCCUACGGGAGGCAGCAGUGGGGAAUAUUGGACAAUGGGCGCAAGCCUGAUCCAGCCAUACCGCGUGGGUGAAGAAGGCCUUCGGGUUGUAAAGCCCUUUUGUCGGGAAAGAAAAGCAGCAGGUUAAUACCCCGCUGUUCUGACGGUACCCAAAGAAUAAGCACCGGCUAACUUCGUG